UACAGAGGGGGCAAGCGUUGUUCGGAAUUACUGGGCGUAAAGGGCGCGUAGGCGGCCUUCUAAGUCGAACGUGAAAUCCCCGGGCUCAACCCGGGAACUGCGUCCGAUACUGGAAGGCUUGAAUCCGGGAGAGGGAUGCGGAAUUCCAGGUGUAGCGGUGAAAUGCGUAGAUAUCUGGAGGAACACCGGUGGCGAAGGCGGCAUCCUGGACCGGCAUUGACGCUGAGCGCGAAAGCCAGGGGAGCAAGCGGG
rnacentral:rRNA from 1 species